AGUGAACGCUGGCGGUAGGCCUAACACAUGCAAGUCGAACGGCAGCACAGUAAGAGCUUGCUCUUACGGGUGGCGAGUGGCGGACGGGUGGGGAAUACAUCGGAAUCUACUUUUUCGUGGGGGAUAACGUAGGGAAACUUACGCUAAUACCGCAUACGACCUACGGGUGAAAGCAGGGGAUCUUCGGACCUUGCGCGAUUGAAUGAGCCGAUGUCGGAUUAGCUAGUUGGCGGGGUAAAGGCCCACCAAGGCGACGAUCCGUAGCUGUUCUGAGAGGAUGAUCAGCCACACUGGAACUGAGACACGGUCCAGACUCCUACGGGAGGCAGCAGUGGGGAAUAUUGGACAAUGGGCGCAAGCCUGAUCCAGCCAUACCGCGUGGGUGAAGAAGGCCUUCGGGUUGUAAAGCCCUUUUGUUGGGAAAGAAAAGCAGCAGGUUAAUACCCCGCUGUUCUGACGGUACCCAAAGAAUAAGCACCGGCUAACUUCGUG
rnacentral:rRNA from 1 species